AUUGAACGCUGGCGGCAGGCCUAACACAUGCAAGUCGAACGAGUGGCGGACGGGUGAGUAAUGUCUGGGAAACUGCCUGAUGGAGGGGGAUAACUACUGGAAACGGUAGCUAAUACCGCAUACCAUCAGAUGUUCCCAGAUGGGAUUAGCUUGUUGGUGGGGUAACGGCUCACCAAGGCGACGAUCCCUAGCUGGUCUGAGAGGAUGACCAGCCACACUGGAAAUGAGACACGGGACAGACUGCUACGAGUGGGAGGAGUGGGAAAUAUUGCACAAUGGGCGCAAGCCUGAUGCAGCCAUGCCGGGUGUAUGAAGAAGGCGUUCGGGUUGUAAAGUACUUUAAGCGGGGAGGCGUUACCCGCAGAAGAAGCACCGGCUAACUCCGUGCCAGACGCCGCGGUAAUUC
rnacentral:rRNA from 1 species